CAUGAUGCGUACCACCCACUUCACCGGUCUACUACUACUAAACGCUCUUACUGUGCGCGGUAGACUGGUGGGUGACGUUCAGCGUUAAUCGAGCCCUCAGAAAUAAAAAAACCCGCGCCGUGUCGCGGGUUUUUUU
rnacentral:sRNA from 1 species